AUCUAUCUAUACUUACUUCUACUAAUUACAGACUCCCUAAAAAUUUCCACGUUAAUUAGUAAAUACUAACCGUUAAUCAUGUGGGGCCAAAAUAAUAACGGUUUAGAUUAAUCCAUAGAAUCCUUUCGGAGUUUCCAUCUUAAAAGAAAAAAAAACAGGUUCCUUCUCAAAAGAACAGGUUUCCAUCUCAAAAGAAAGAACACAGACUAUUUUUGAUCUGAUAUUAGAUUAAAAGAAAUGUCACGGUUGCAAACUCUAACUAACUUUCUCACAUGUGUAGUUGUCAAAAAAAAGAAAAACUUUCUCACAUGUGUGUUCUAAAAGAACAAUGCUCUCAACAUAAUUUAAUUUCCAUCUCUGUUCCGGCUCUCCUGGCCUUCCUCGACCUAUACGCCAUCGCCGCCGCCGCCAUCGACGCGGCCGCCGCCGCCAUCACACGAUGUCGCCGCCGCUGCUGCGGACGACUUCCCGACGCUCAGGGCGCUGCGGUAGAACUGCGCUUGGCUGCAGUGCGUGUUCCCGGCGCCAUUGCCGACCGUCGGUGCGCCACCGUGCUGGCACCUCGACGGGCUGCUCGAGGUAAUGGCCGUGAGGCGUACAAGUUGACCUCACGCUGCAAUCGCUCUAAUAAAAAGGGCCACGAUUCAAUCGAUCCCCAUGUCAUCCUGAACUUCAGAUUUCCAUCCAACUCAGCAAUCGAUCUGAAAAAAGGUCAUAGACUCACAAUCCCUUUCUUCUUCUUUCAUGAAUCAUCUCAGAUUUCAGGUUCUGACUAUGAGGCUUCCCAACAUAAUUUUUCUAGGCCAAUUAUUGAAUCAAUCUUACACCGGUUGAUGCAGCGGAGGAGGAGGCGGCUGCAGUAGGCAGUAAGGCUGCCGAGUGAAGGGACUACAGGGGAUUGCUGGCGCCACGAUCCCUGCUCUGUUCUUAAAUCCUUUCAAUUCAUCACAGAAGAUACAGGCAUACAAUUGGCUUGAUCCCUAAUGUUUGGACAAGAAAAAAAGUUGGUUGUGUACAUGCGUAUCCAUAAGUGGUCCUUUUGACUUGAUUGUGUGAUGUAGGAAGAGAAAGCAUGCAAGUUGCCAUGGUCUGCAUAACGACAUUGCUUCCAGUGGCACCAAAAAUAUAUAUGAAUUGAAUGAUGCGUGUGUUUUUCUCGAGUACAGGCUACACAUCGGAUUAACUGGAUGGUACAUCCGAUCAUCCAUCCAUUACACGGAGGUACGAUGCUUAGAGUUUGAAUAUUUUUCCAUGUCUUUAACUGCUAAAUUGUGCAGUUUCCUUUUUGUUAGAUCAGGUAGUCAGAUUUUAAAACUAUUGGCCAUACAAUUAUUAGCUUCAAGUACUACUUGAGCUGCACAGGUGAGCACAAUACUAUGUUCGUCAGUGCAAACUGUUUUGCGUAAUAUUUUUGCAAAUAUGGUCAAUGUAUACUGUUUUUUGUAAUAUUUUUGCAACUAUGGUCAACGUAUACUGUUUUCUGUAAUAUUUUUGCAGCUUCAGAGAAACUAUGUGUAGGUCUCUUCACCAUUCUUAGUAUUUUAAGUUUAGUGCUACGGCUAGCUCUUUAUUGUGCUUAGCAGCAACUGUUAUGACAGGACUAACUUCUCUUUUUCGUUCAUGAAUUCACAUGCUAGGAUUCUAUGUUAAAUAGGCUGAUUCUUCCAAGGGGUCGUUAGAAUGGGAAAUCGGAAGAUGAUGUUGUAUGAACUCUUUGAAAAUCCCUAACCACAUCUACUAAACAUUUAAAAUUCUAUAUCCUGCCCAUCGAAUUAGUGUUGCGUAGUUUUGCUUAUGCUACCACAAUUGCUCUGUAGGUUAACGGAAAUCCCAACCACUUGAAUACAUGAAUGCAUAAUGUGAUUUUCCAGAAAAUUUAGGACCCUUUUAUAUACGCAACCACACUAUUAAGUCCAGAGCUCAUGAACUACAAGACAAGUGCAACGAUAACCUAUAUUCAUAUUAACCAGAAUAUCAUGCAAAUGAAUUAUUAUGUUUAUUGGAUAUGACGAUCCCGUGCAGGUUUAGGCAAUCAUUCCAACUUCUAUUGUUAAGCAAAGGUAUAAACCCUAGAUUGCAAACAUUUUCCUAUACAUAUGGCAUUAAGUUAUGCCAAUUUCCUUACAUCCACUGGCCACAAGCUACCCAUGCAAUAGGUAAUUAUGACAUGUCAAUGAUGCAAUGGUGUUUGAAAUAUUCGGACCCUUAGUGAAACUUAAGAUUCAAAAGCUAGCUCACUUAUCGAUUAUAUAUAUAUAUAUAUUACAAAACUAAUUUGAUACCUCCAACAAACAGAACGUAAUAAAAAAAUAUGAGCCGCUCAUCUGAUGUGACCGAGUUAUAACGGUGUGGAUUAACAUCUGUAAUCAUCGACUGAAACCCUUAGAAUCAUUAGAUCUUUGGUACUGUAGUUGAAUUACCCACCUAUGCCAUCAAAUUAUGUGCACACAUCCUUUAAGACAAAUCCACCAAUGUGUUUACCACCCAGAAUUGAAGAGUCGCAAUAUAGAAUCAAACUUUUCGAUCCCUCAUCCAUGUCUCUCUCCUGCAAUGGCGUCAUGCCUAAGUGCUACCACCAUUCGCACCCCACUAUGAUAUGUCUUCAGGUUGAUCUAUCUGCUAAUGGUCGCCGGCUGGCCGGUGAGCGUUGCCGCCAUUUGUAAAUUUGACGAUGCCUUGACGCAUAAGACGUUCUUAUUGCUGCACUUGCUAAGAGCAGCAGCGUGGUUAAUUAAGUUUAUGAGAGAAGUGUCAGUUCAUGCCGGCGAUGGUCGAUGGAGCUUUAAUGUGGUUGUCGAGGCAUGAAAAGCAUGGUGAUCAAAAAGAUUUCUAAGGGUAAGGUGCAGGCAGCGCUAGCUGAUACUAGCAUGCCGUUUUUAUUGUCUCUUAAUUUAUUUAUUUUCCAGCAGAUAUCCCGGAUUGGAUCAAAAAUUAUUUUUCCCAGUUUGUAACCCAAUAUGUUUGUGCACAAACACAUGUAAUGCUGAGGUACAGUUUAUGCUACAGCAGGUCUGGAUCAUUUGUCGCUCCGAGAGGAGUUCUUUCUGCGGUGAAGACACACUUACACGCAGCCUUUAAUAAUUUCUUUCCGGUGAGACACAAGUAUAAGGAUUUAAGCACCCUUGAUUGAUUCAUGGAGAGCAUACGAAAUGAUUCUGGCUAAUCUAAUCUAGCUACUGGAUGGACCGGAUGAAGAACGGAACACACGCCGGUGAUUGCCCAAGUCCAGUCUUAACAAGGCCAUUAAUCACAUGGAUGCGUUAAUUCCAGCAAUUUAUCUGUUGUGCUUCCUGAUGUUAUCUUAUUAACUGGACUUAGAAAUGGAGAAAUGCCAUGAUGUAAUGUGACUUGGUGGUGCAAGGUUAUAUUGCUGGACCAAGAUCUGCAUCUAUAUUUCCUAAAGUCUUUCACUUACAUUCUUUUA